rnacentral:rRNA from 1 species
GAUGAACGCUGGCGGCGUGCCUAAUACAUGCAAGUCGAGCGAACAGACGAGGAGCUUGCUCCUUCGACGUUAGCGGCGGACGGGUGAGUAACACGUAGGUAACCUACCUAUAAGACUGGGAUAACUUCGGGAAACCGGAGCUAAUACCGGAUAAUAUUUCGAACCGCAUGGUUCGAUAGUGAAAGAUGGCUUUGCUAUCACUUAUAGAUGGACCUGCGCCGUAUUAGCUAGUUGGUAAGGUAACGGCUUACCAAGGCAACGAUACGUAGCCGACCUGAGAGGGUGAUCGGCCACACUGGAACUGAGACACGGUCCAGACUCCUACGGGAGGCAGCAGUAGGAAAUCUUCCGCAAUGGGCGAAAGCCUGACGGAGCAACGCCGCGUGAGUGAUGAAGGUCUUCGGAUCGUAAAACUCUGUUAUUAGGGAAGAACAAACGUGUAAGUAACUGUGCACGUCUUGACGGUACCUAAUCAGAAAGCCACGGCUAACUACGUG